UACUGGGCGUAAAGCGCGCGUAGGCGGUUUGUUAAGUCAGAUGUGAAAUCCCCGGGCUCAACCUGGGAAUGGCAUUUGAGACUGGCAGGCUAGAGUAUGGUAGAGGUGAGUGGAAUUUCAGGUGUAGCGGUGAAAUGCGUAGAGAUCUGAAGGAACAUCAGUGGCGAAGGCGACUCACUGGGCCAUUACUGACGCUGAGGUGCGAAAGCGUGGGUAGCAAACAGGAUUAGAUACCCUGGUAGUCCACGCCCUAAACGAUGUCAACUAGGUGUAUGGAGAAAAUAUUCUUUGUGUAUCGAAGCUAACGCGAUAAGUUGACCGCCUGGGGAGUACGGUCGCAAGACUAAAACUCAAAUGAAUUGACGGGGGCCCGCACAAGCGGUGGAGCAUGUGGUUUAAUUCGAUGCAACGCGAAGAACCUUACCUGGCCUUGACAUG
rnacentral:rRNA from 1 species